UCUUUCCCUGAAGACGGGAGAGCAAGUUUCAACAAUUUCGCCAACAUGCAUUUCACACGGACUUCACCCUGGAGGACUCAUCCGCUGGAGUCCGCUACCGGAUUCUACUGCCCCCUGAGCUCAGUGGUCCGCGGGGCAGGAAGAUACAAUUGAGAACAAAGUUUAGGGGCUCUAAUUCGGGCUAACCCUUCAAACUGUUUCACAGUCUUCACCAUCGUCAUUCACCAGCACUACUUUAGUGUUAAAAUGCAGUCCAUCAUCAGCUUUCUAUAGACAUAGUUUCUGAUAUCAGAAUGGAAACACUGUUGAUAUGAUUCCUUAGGAGAUGAAACCUCAAUUUAGAUUAGCAGCACUGAAAUCUCACUUUGGCUUUGUGCCUGACAUAGUGUAUGACUUAGUAGAAUCACUUAACUUCUUGGAGUCUUAGCUUUGCUGUCUAAAAAAUGAGAGAGUAAUUACUCCAGCUACCCAUCUUUCCUUAUAAAAGUGUCAACAUGAGUUGCUCUUUAUAAAGUGCUUUGAGACGUUGAGAAAAAGAUAACUGAUAGGGCUAGAAACCAGGGUCACACACUCCCCUUUGAUUAUUCAGAGAUGUGUCUUGAGAUUUACGCCAGCAAUUCACUCUAAGGCUGCUUGUCCUGGGCUGGCUGGCUGCAGCCCCAUCUAAGAGGCUUUGCCUUCUGAAAGGCAAAACUGGCUUCAUCACAAGGUGCCCUCUGGGAGGGAUUUGUGCUACCAGAAAUAACAACAACAACAUUAUUAAAGAUAAAUAAGCAGAGAGGCUUAGAGAAGUUAGACAACUUUCCCAGCUAAUGAAUGGCAGAGACAGAAGUUGACUGAAUCUCGGAUUUCUGACUGUCCAUCUUUCCACUAGAGUAUACUGCCAAACCACUGUUUCUUGCCACAGAGCAUAUAAAUGAAGAACUUCAGUAAUAGCUCUGGCAUCCACUUUGUUUGUCCAUUUUUUUAAUAGACUUUAUUGUUUAGGACAGUUUUAGAUUUACACAAAAAUUGAGACAAUAGUGCAAAGAAUUGCCAUAUACCCUACACCUAAUUUUCCCUAUUAUUAACACCUCACAGGAGUGUGGUCCCUCCCUUAUUAUUAAUAAACCCAUACUGAUACAUCAUUAUUAGCUAAACUCUGUAUUUUAUCGACAUUUACUUAGUUUUUCCCUAAUGUCCUCUUUCUCUUUCAGGGUCCUAUCCAGGACACUACAUUACAUUUUGCCGUGUGGCAUUGACUUCUGAGAGGAACUGAUGUAUACAGAGGACAUCCGGAUUAAAAAAGCAAACCAAAGCCUGGGCCUGCAUGUGUGGCCCAUCCUGGCAUGCGAAUGCUGCACAGCUGGUCCUCCGGGCAGCAAGCGCCGAAGGCUAAUGAACACACAGCUGUGGUGGACGGCUCCCACUAGCAGCCCUGCAGGCUGCCUCCCCGGUUUCCCUGAUGGAGAAAAUGCACCUCCAGAGACUGGACAGACACUGGCGGCCUUGUGCAGGACUGCCAAGUGGGCCUCUUGACUCCCACAGAGCCUGGGACCAGUGCCUUCUGGAACAUUCCACUAAUGGAUGUACCUCCUGCGAACACUUGCUGGAUCUUGGGAGAUACAUGCCUGUGUUCACAUCCCGAUGUUGCCAUUUGCUAGUCACAGGACCCUAGGACAGUGACUUAAUCUCUUUGUGUCACAGUUUCCUCUUGUGGUUUAAAUGGGGACAUGAAUGUGGGUGCCUAGUAGGGCGGCUGUGAGGAUGCAAGGAGUUUAUGGAUGGAGGGUGCUCAGGGCAUUGCCUGCAGAGUGAGUGCCUCAGAAGCGCUUGCUGUUUUUAUGGCCUGGGCUCCCUGAUCCCUCAGGGAAAGCAGAAGCCCAUGGCUUUCUCUAAGAACUGCGAGACAGAAAUGGCUUGGUUUGUACUUUGAGUUGACUAGAUCCCAGAGAGAAGGGAAGAUCCGGAUCUCUUGUGGUCCGUCCUUAAAACUCUUCUGGCCCCCGGAAGCAUGCUGGGAGGGGCAGUCAGGCCAUGUCCCUGGUGAUCUGUGUGGGCUCAGUCAGGUCAAGACCACCUGCCCUGGGAAAACUGCCAGGGCCAUCAGCAGGCAGACCUAACACUCCAGGAAACAGGACACACACAGAUCCAUGGUCACCAGGGCAUCUCCUGUCGAAUGGGAGACCUGCUCCCCGCUGGCCUCUCAUGAGGACUCACAGACAUGCAGAGGCAACACACAGCAGGCACUGACUUUGGUACCAACUUUCCAGUUCAAAAGCCCUUUGGCCUCCGAGAUCAGUCCUUAGAAAGCCUUUACCGAGGCAUUUUGUUCUCUCUGGACACUGGAGGGGCCCGCUUUCCUGAGGACUGCCCUGGACCUCUUAUUUCAUCUGGGAAACUUCCCUGCCAGCCGUGUGGAGCCCAGUGCUCAACAGCUGCAUUGUCCUUAUUCACAAUCUAUCUCUGUCUCCAAAGGGGAGCAGAUGUGGAGCUUGCUGAGUGGAAAGGCACACAAAGGGCCCCUUCUGCAUAGGCCAUGUCAUGGAGGUGGGGCCCUCUCUCGCAUGCCAAGGGCAUAGGGUCCAUCGCCACACUCAGGCGCUCCCACCCUGCUGGCCAGGACUUGUGGAGACGGUACCUCAUAAAAAACCACGGAGCUGCCCAGCUGGCAGAGCCUGCAAGUUCCCAUACAUUUACAUCACCCAGUGGAGCUUUGUUGUGGCUCUGACACAAGAAAAUUAAGACAAGCCUUCUCAGAAAAUCCCAUGUUUCUUGAUUCUGCCUUCAGGUCAGCCUCUGUAGCCCAUUGCUUUCCAAGGUCUGUCCCCUCCGGCCUCUUGUCCCAGCGUGGCGCCAGGCACUGGCACUCUCACAGGCUCCACAACUGUUCCCCUUGAUUGGAAGUUUACCCUGUGUCAGGCACCAGGCUAACGUAUCGGAAUGGCCCCGAUUUCUCCCUAUAAAAACCCUGCAGGAACAACAUGACUAUUAGUUUUGCUUUUUGUCAUAGAUGGGAAAUCAAUGCAUGGAGAAGUUAAAUAAAUUGCCCAAGGUCACACACAUCUAGUAGGUGGGAGAGGUUGGAUUUUAAAUUAGGCCUGUCUGACCUAAUAAAUGCGCUCAACAGCAAAUACUAA